UGUUUUUCAGCCACGCUUGCCCUGAGCUCAUGUGCUGUGUUUUGUGGCCACGGCGGGGCAGGAGCGAGGGCUUAGAGCAAGGAAAGUGCCUGAGGAGCUGCAGCGGGAAAAGGACAGAGCAAUGAUUCUGGCAGAACUCUUGGUUUAUUUUGUUCUUCAGGCACAGGAAAAUUAGGAGAAGAUGGCAGCCACCAAUUCAAAGAUUUCUCACUGGAGCUAAUAGGAAGGCUCCCAUCCAUUUUGGACAAACUGCCUGAUUGGAGAACAAGAACUCACCAGAUGAUCUCCAGAAGAGCCACGAUAAAGAAUGAUUCAGCUGGUGCUAUCCCUGCUGUAUUUGGGGCAAAAUAUUUCCCCUUGUCGCUGCGGGUGUGGCCUCCGGCGCUAGAUGGCAAUGUGGCUGUGUGACAUCCAGGGAACGGCAGUAGCAAAAGUCUCAACACUCUAAAAGCUUUACAAACUUUCUUUUUCCUGCAUUAUGACUACACGUGGAACAUUUCUUAAUGAGUUAGAGUGG